rnacentral:rRNA from 1 species
CCAGGACGCCAGUUUUGGCGGAGCCAUCCUUGGGAUACCACCCUUGUAGUACUGGGACUCUAACCAUAGGCCAUGAAUCUGGUCUUGGGACACUGUCAGGUGGGCAGUUUGACUGGGGCGGUCGCCUCCCAAAAGGUAACGGAGGCGCUCAAAGGUUCUCUCAGUACGGUCGGAAAUCGUACGUAGAGUGUAAAGGCAAAAGAGAGCUUGAUUGCAAGACAUACAGGUCGAGCAAGGAUGAAAAUCGGACUUAGUGAUCCGGUGGUUCUGCGUGGAAGGGCCAUCGCUCAACGGAUAAAAGCUACCCUGGGGAUAACAGGCUUAUCUCCCCCAAGAGUCCACAUCGACGGGGAGGUUUGGCACCUCGAUGUCGGCUCAUCACAUCCUGGGGCUGUAGUAGGUCCCAAGGGUUGGGCUGUUCGCCCAUUAAAGUGGUACGCGAGCUGGGUUCAGAACGUCGUGAGACAGUUCGGUCCCUAUCCGUCGCAGGCGUAGGAAAUUUGAGAAGACCUGUCCUUAGUACGAGAGGACCGGGAUGGACGUACCUCUGGUGUACCAGUUGUUCUGCCAAGGGCAUGGCUGGGUAGCUAUGUACGGAAUGGAUAAGCGCUGAAAGCAUCUAAGCGCGAAGCCAACU